rnacentral:rRNA from 1 species
UACAGAGGGUGCGAGCGUUAAUCGGAGUGACUGGACGUAAAGGGCGCGUAGGCGGCUUAUCAAGUCAGGCGUGAAAUUCCCGGGCUCAACCUGGGGGCUGCGCUUGAUACUGAUGAGCUUGAAUGCGGGAGAGGAUAGUGGAAUUCCCAGUGUAGAGGUGAAAUUCGUAGAUAUUGGGAAGAACACCGGUGGCGAAGGCGGCUAUCUGGCCCGUAAUUGACGCUGAGGCGCGAAAGCGUGGGGAGCAAACAGG